UACGAAGGGGGCUAGCGUUGCUCGGAUUGACUGGGCGUAAAGAGCGUGUAGGCGGUUCGGUAAGUCGGCUGUGAAAGUCCAGGGCUCAACCCUGGGAUGCCGGUCGAUACUGCCGGACUAGAGUUCGGAAGAGGCGAGUGGAAUUCCCGGUGUAGCGGUGAAAUGCGCAGAUAUCAGGAGGAACACCGGUGGCGAAGGCGGUUCUCUGGGCAUGUCCUGACGCUGAGGAGCGAAAGUGUGGGGAGCGAACAGA
rnacentral:rRNA from 1 species